rnacentral:hammerhead_ribozyme from 1 species
AUCCAGCUUAUGAGUCCCAAACAGGACGAAACGCGCGUCCUGGAU